GUGCUCACUUUGGCAGCACAUCUACUAAAAUUGAGAUGAUAUAGAGAUUAGCAUGGCCCCUGUGUAAGGAUGACACACAAAUUUGUGAAGUAUUCUAUAUUUUU
rnacentral:snRNA from 1 species